UCCAAACCCGAAGCCUGCUUUACCAAGCUAUCCACAGCUCCAAUAUCGCCCUCCCAAAAAUCUCCAGUGACUCCGGCGACGCACAUCAACCUUCCACCGCCGACAAUGGAUACCGAUACACUUCUUCAACACGAAGCCGUCUCACAGUCAGCUGAUCCGCUAUCGAACCAAUUCGGUUCUCUCAAUGACCUUGCCCACGAACUCGCCUCUCUCCAGGACCUUGCGAACCGCGGCAGCUGGCGCUCGAUCCUCGACAAGGUCGCUCGUGCCCGCUCACACUCUCUCCUUAACACACCUCAUGACCAUCUCACUUACCUCGCCUACAACGUCCUUGCUCUCGCCAAAUUACGCCGUUUCAAGGACGCUCUCACGGAGCUCGAUUCCGUCGACGAUUUCGAUAGCCACCAUUACCGAUACGAAACAUAUCCGAAAAUCUACCCCACUCGGUGUGGUUCUAUGGUCCCCUUCUCUCUCCGCUGGCUUCAUGCAUUGAUUCCGAUAAAAUUAGGUAACCGCCAAGAAGGAUUAGAUCGGUUUUAUAUAUUGCUCGAUUUUGUUCGUGGAAAACUAAAGGAAAAACAAGAUUAUGAUGUUUCAAUCAAAAUGUGGAAAAAAAGAGAGGUGUUUGUUAUGAAUGGCAUAAUCAGUGAGCAUUUGAAAAAUAAAGAAUUUGGUGUUUGUUUGGAUUUGAUUAAAGAUUUGGUUUCUCGUGGUAAUUUAGAUCCUGUUCUAUUGUCAAAAUUGGGGCAUAUACAGAUGCAAAUUGGGGAUUUGGAGGGGGCAAAGGGUUCAUUUGAUAAGGUUGAGAAAUUGUUGAAAGAACGAAAUGCUGGGGGUGAUGAUGAGUUACUGAGUGAGGUUGAGUUCAGGAAUCAGGUGAAUAGAAACAAGGCGUUAGUGUAUUUGGUUGGGAAGGAUUAUGUGUCGGCCGUGAGGGAAUACGAGGAGUGCAUAGAGAGAGAUCCUAUGGAUGUUGUGGCCAUUAACAACAAAGCUCUCUGCUUGAUGUACCUGAGGGAUUUGUCUGAUUCAAUUAAGGUUUUGGAGAAUUCACUUGAGAGAGUGCCCACUGUUGCAUUGAAUGAAACGCUUGUAGUUAAUUUGUGUAGUAUGUAUGAGUUGGCUUA
rnacentral:misc_RNA from 1 species